rnacentral:rRNA from 1 species
UACGUAGGGUGCAAGCGUUAAUCGGAAUUACUGGGCGUAAAGCGUGCGCAGGCGGUUUUGUAAGUCUGAUGUGAAAUCCCCGGGCUCAACCUGGGAAUUGCAUUGGAGACUGCAAGGCUAGAAUCUGGCAGAGGGGGGUAGAAUUCCACGUGUAGCAGUGAAAUGCGUAGAUAUGUGGAGGAACACCGAUGGCGAAGGCAGCCCCCUGGGUCAAGAUUGACGCUCAUGCACGAAAGCGUGGGGAGCAAACAGGAUUAGAUACCCCGGUAGUCC